rnacentral:rRNA from 1 species
UAAUACGAAGGGAGCAAGCGUUAUUCGGAAUUACUGGGCGUAAAGGGUGCGUAGGCGGUUUGUUAAGUCAGUUGUUAAAGCCCAUGGCUUACCCAUGGAUAGGCAAUUGAUACUGGCGAACUUGAGGGCAAGAGAGAGGAGUGGAAUUCUCGGAGUAGCGGUAAAAUGCGUAGAUCUCGAGAGGAACACCGAUGGCGAAGGCAGCUCUUUGGCUUGUCCCUGACGCUGAGGCACGAAAGCGUGGGGAGCAAACAGGAUUAGAUACCCUGGUAGUCCACGCCGUAAACGAUGAUCACUAGAUGUUGGUUUCGCCUAGCGAGAUCAGUGUUAAAGCUAACGCGUUAAGUGAUCCGCCUGGGGAGUACGGUCGCAAGAUUA